AUUGAACGCUGGCGGCAUGCCUUACACAUGCAAGUCGAGCGGCAGCGCGGGGGCAACCCUGGCGGCGAGCGGCGGACGGGUGAGUAAUACAUCGGAACGUGUCCUUUCGUGGGGGAUAACCAGUCGAAAGACUGGCUAAUACCGCAUGAGAUCUCACGAUGAAAGCGGGGGACCGCAAGGCCUCGCGCGAUUGGAGCGGCCGAUGUCGGAUUAGCUAGUUGGCGGGGUAAAAGCCCACCAAGGCGACGAUCCGUAGCUGGUUUGAGAGAACGACCAGCCACACUGGGACGGAGACACGGCCGAGACUCCUACGGGAGGCAGCAGUGGGGAAUUUUGGACAAUGGGCGCAAGCCUGAUCCAGCCAUGCCGCGUGUGUGAAGAAGGCCUUCGGGUUGUAAAGCACUUUCGGCCGGAACGAAAUCGCGCGGAUUAAUAACCCGCGUGGAUGACGGUACCGGAAGAAGAAGCACCGGCUAACUACGUGCCAGCCGCCGCGGUAACAC
rnacentral:rRNA from 1 species